UACGUAGGGUGCAAGCGUUGUCCGGAAUUAUUGGGCGUAAAGAGCUCGUAGGCGGUUUGUUGCGUCGGCUGUGAAAUCCCGAGGCUCAACCUCGGGUCUGCAGUCGAUACGAGCAAACUAGAGUGUUGCAGGGGAGACUGGAAUUCCUGGUGUAGCGGUGAAAUGCGCAGAUAUCAGGAAGAACACCUAUGGCGAAGGCGGUUCUCUGGGACGGUACUGACGCUGAGACGCGAAAGCGUGGGGAGCGAACAGG
rnacentral:rRNA from 1 species